UUGACCAGUCUCCACCUGAUGUGAUCAAGAAACCAAAGGAAUCUGCAAAGAUCCAGUGUUCACACAAUGUGCCCAAUUACAAUCAAAUUAGCUGGUACAGACAAAACCAGGACCAAGGGUUCACAUUCAUGGGAUAUUUAUUUUUAAAAGGUCAAAACCCAGAAAAAGAGUUCACUAAAAAAAUAGAAAUGUCUGGGGAAGGAAAUAGCAAUGGAUAUUUGACUAUUGAAGAUCUCUCGUCUAAUGACAGUGCAGUGUAUUUUUGUGCUGCAUGUUACACAGUGUUUUAGAUCCAAGCUGUUCAUUACAAAAACAUCUCUUUAAUUCUGUGAUUAAUGGAUAACAAAGAAAAAAAAAGCCUUAAUCCACACCUGCUCCUGUGGUAUUAAUUUCAGACUGUUUUAUUUAUUUAUUUAUUUUUACUUAUUGGUAGUAAGUAAGGUAGUUGUUGUGUUAGUUCUGUUAAGGGUAUGGGGCUGGGUUAAGGGAUUUAGAAUAUGGUCAUGCAAAAUAAGGCAUUAAUAAGGCAUCAAUAUGCUAAUAAUAUGCCUGCUAAUAAGCAACUAGAUAAUUGUGAACAGUGUUCCCUAAUCUAAAUUGUUACUAUAUAUAUGGAUGUCAUAACUACCUACAUUUUACAACCCUGAAAAAAAAAAAAAAAAAAAAAAAAAAAAAAAAAAAAAACUAAAGCACUGAUCAAACAUUCAACAGCUUGAGGUUAAUGAACACAAUGUCGUGCCUUUCAAUAGGUGGGGCUGUUUUGCAACACAUCCACUCAUGAGGAUGGAGGUAGGACCUCACUUCUGAAAGGGUUGAUGAAAUUCAGAUGAACUUAUGCGGCUUUAAGUACAUUUUUUAAAACUGUCCUAAGAAUCCAGUGUCGUUAAAACUUAAUAAUGGUCAGAAAUCCAGUUCUACUCUUUUAUUUGCUCUGCUGGCAUUUUGGCCAUUUGUUGAGCAGUGUUGAUCAAACUCCUUCUGAAGUCAUUGUGCAUUCUGGACAGGCCUGCACUCUAUCCUGCUCUCACAGUAUCUCCAGCUACAACACUAUACUGUGGUACUACCAGCAUGAGCAUGGUCAAGGCAUGCACAUUAUUGGAUAUACCUUUCAUAGUACCCACAAUUUGGAGAAUGCAGAUGAUAAAAAAUACAAGCUGAAAGGAGAUGCCAAGAGUUCUGUGAACCUGACAAUCUCAGAGCUCAUGUUUAAGGAAAGUGCAGUGUAUUUCUGUGCAGCCAGUUCACACAGUGCUGUAGGCCCCCCAUGAGCCCUACAAAAAGCCCAUAUCUUUUGUGCAUCUUUCAUUAACUUUCAAGCAGUUGGGUUGAGUAGGAUUCCAUGGGAGGUACCUGCCAACUCUAUUUUGUUUUCAAGUUGAUGUAUUUAGCAAAUAGGUCAACAGAAUGCAAAAGAAGGGUUACUUAAAAUAAAAGUCCCUGACAAGUCUGGUUUCUCCA
ensembl:lncRNA